CACAGCUCCAUAUUACACAAAAUGUCAACAACGCAUGUGGCGGUAUUUUGGUGGAUUCUCGCUGCGGUCCUAUUCUCUAUUAUACAUGCUUCUCCACAGCCCCUACAUAUCAGGACUCAGUGGAACAACGGAAUAGACGGGUACUUCAUAGUAUCCCCCUCACUGCUAGGGAGGGGCUGGACAGCCACCAUAACAUGUAAUAAGGAGAUCGAUCAGAUCGAGAUCUGGAGUGCUAUGCUGAUAUCGAGUAACAUUGGAUCCGGUAAAUCCACAAUAGUCGUAAGAAAUGACGACAUAUUUUCUGACGGCGAUAGUCAUCCACCUGAAGAAGUUGAAAUUGUUGUCAGGAUGGCGACAGACAAUAACAUCCCACAAUGCACUACUGAAACAAAUCCCAUUUCCGCUCCUGCGACAACCCCCGCUAUGAAUGGACGCACUACGUUAUUAACUACAACGGAACCACCAACCCCAAAGGAUUUUAACUACUCGGAGGCCUUGUCUCUUUCCAUCUUGUUUUAUGACGCUCAGCGAUCCGGCGUCCUUCCGGCAGAUAACCCUAUACCUUGGCGGAGUGAUUCCGCCGUGGAUGAUCACGGUGAUUAUGGUGAGGAUCUAUCCGGCGGGUGGUAUAAUGCUGGAGAUCACGUAAAGUUCAAUCUUCCGAUGGCAUCGUCCGCGCACCUGUUGUCAUGGGGACUAGAAAUAUGGAAAGAUGCUUACCAGUCUGCCGGCCAGCUCGACAUGAUGUAUGAUAUGUUAAAAUGGCCAUUGGACUAUUUCCUGAAAUGCUGGAAUCCUCAAACCCAAGAGUAUUACGCACAGGUUGGAAAGGGUAAAGAGGACCACCGAUAUUGGGGUCGCCCCGAGGAUAUGUCUAAAUUCAGACCGAUGUGGAGACCCGCCUAUAAGUGCACGCGUAACGACCAGUGCAGUGAUGUAGCUGGAGAGACGGCGGCAGCGCUGGCUUCCGGUGCUAUAGUGUUCAAAGACAGGAAAAAUUUCAGAUGCUACGUACUCCAAUGAGCUGCUGACAGCCGCCAAGAGUCUAUAUGCCUUUGCCAAAAGUAACCAAGGGACGUACGGGACAACAGCAAUAAUGGACGCCAAUAACUAUUACCGUUCCAACUCGUACAAGGACGAGCUGUGUACGGCGGCCAUGGAACUCUACAAAGUGACCAAUGACGCCUCGUAUCUACAGGACGCCAUUUCGUUCUACGUCCCCAAUUCCAAGAGUUGGGCUUUCUCCUGGGAUGACAAAAAUGUCCAGUGCGCUUUGAUGCUGUACAGGGCCCAGGGCUCCCGCCAUUACGCCGCGCAGGUCGAUGACUUCAUCAGGAGCUACAUGCCGGGAGGGGAGCUCACCCAAACCCCCUGCGGCCUGGCCUGGAGGCUAGGGGUAGGACCGCUUAGGUACGCAGCUAAUGCGGCACUGGUUGCUUUAAUGGCGGUGGAUGAAGGAUUUGGGGGUGAUGCCUACAAGAUUUGGGCGCUGAAACAAAUCAAUUACAUGUUAGGAGACAACAAACAAAGGAUGAGCUAUCAAAUCGGCUACGGAACAAAAUAUCCCCAGAAACCGUACCACAGAGCGAGUUCAUGCCCCGACCCGCCCACUUCUCCUUGUGGGUGGGACAACAUCAACAACCCAGGACCAAGUCCCCAGAUCCUAUGGGGGGCACUGGUUGGAGGCCCGGAUGUCAAUGACGUAUACGUGGAUAAUCACGUCGGAUGCGAUUUCAAUGCAGGAUUUCAAUCUGCUCUAGCGGGCUUAAUACAUCUUCAAAAUCAAGGACGCCUGCCUUCCUCCUCAGAUCCAUUGCAAAGCCAACAGAUUAAGAACUGUGUCACGUAGCCCGUGUUUUCUUCAAUAAAAUCUGGCAAACAAUUCU
rnacentral:misc_RNA from 1 species